GAGGAGUCCGGGGUCGGAGCAGCGGAAAGGCGGGAGGUGCCCCACCGCUUUAGGCGCCCGGCGCAGGGCACGAUGGGACGCCCCCGGGACGGGGCGGAGCCGUGUUCGGGCUGCGGUUAGGGAAGCGCCGUCACUUGGGGAGGCGUGCCGAAGAGGGUUUCGCGGGUCCGAGCCGGGGUGGGGGGACCGUUAAAGCCCAGCACCGCAUCCACAGGAAGCUGCUUUAAUGGCUAGGCCUACUUUGUACGAAGCUCUCGGCAGAGAAGUACCCUGAAGACCGUGCGGUUCAACUUCCAAUUUGCAGAUCUGGAAACUGAAGCCUAGAAAGGGAAACUACUGGAGGAUGUGGUGCACCAAAAUUAGAGGAAAAAAACCCCAAGAAACAGGAAGACAUGUGACCCUGGCACCAGGAUAUUCCACAUAGGUACAAGAUGGGAUAAUUAUUUUGCCAUGAACAACUCAGAGUGUAAUGUUUUUGGAAUGAUGGCAGCUUCUACAAAAGCUGGCCUAGGCGAUGAUGGGCUCAAGCUCUGGCUGGAAGAAAUCAAGAGGAAAGAACAUCUUAGCACUUCUGCUCAGUGUCCCUGCUUUGUGGUGCCUUAAGCCUAUGCUUAGACGGUGUACCAAGCAGCCUUGAGCAGGGUAUUUGGAUGAGGAGCCCUCAAUAGGGUACUGAAUUUAAUUCUGGAGUGUGAGCAGGAACCAGUUAACUACAUUCAUUGUCCAACCCCCACUGGUUUGAAAGAAGACUCCAAAUUCUUGGCAUAUGAAUCAGCUGUUCGGUAGCUCCACCUUAUCCCUGCAGUGGAGCAGCGGAACCGCAGUGGCGGCGCGCUUAGGG